rnacentral:SRP_RNA from 1 species
CCGUGCUAGACGGGGAGCUAGCGGUGCCCUGUAGCCCACAAUCCGCUCCAGUGGGGUCGAACUCCCCGCCGAGGCUUCGUCUUGUCCGGCCGUCGCCGGGUGCGCGGUGUUGACAGACUUGGCCCUGCGCAAAGCGCCUCCCGUAAAUCCCGUCAGGACCGGAAGGGAGCAGCGGUAGCGGAAUGGUGUCUUGUGCGGCAGACAGCCGGGUCCGAGCUGGCGGCUCGAAGGACGCGGGGAAGGCGCCGUCGAAGCGGGGUGCACGG